rnacentral:siRNA from 1 species
GCCAUCCCCAUCAUUGCCUGGUAC